rnacentral:lncRNA from 1 species
GGACGGCUCAUCGGGGGUUCGGUGACUCCACUGACUAAUUUCCACGUGAUGUGAUUAUAUGAAGGUGAUAAUAAUUGUGAUUGCUGUUGUAUUGCCAUUUGUGUGACAAAGUGCAUGAUCAUAUAAUUAAACGGUAACCGGAUAAAAAUAUUUUAGCAUCUGUGUGAUUGUGUGGGGUGAGAGGGUUAUCUAACCCUACUCAUUGAGUUUGGCGCUCAUCCCUGCCUACUAUUUUUUUUCCAGGUAAUAGAAAGAAGGGAAAGCCCUAUGGAGUUGAAACACGUAUUAUAGAAGAUUGUUAAUGAUAGAAAUAACGAUGUGAAUGUAAAGGUAGAGUUCCGCAAUUGUAUUCCAGUUGGGUUGUAAAUAAAUAGUAAAAGUCCAUAUUAAAUAUAUGAACUGCAUUUUGGAUGCAUAUGUAUAAAAUGUUAAUGGGCCUGAAUCCAUAAUUAUGAAUAGAAAGUGAGAUUUAAAUAAGUUAGGCUUACUACGGGCUUCGGGGGCCUUAAGCCCACCCAGGUCCUAGUGCCGGUCCGGUCCAUGGAAAUGGGUCGUGACACAUAUAGAAAUUAAAGCAUUGUCAAUAAAAUUUUGAUACUUUUGAA